UUUUAAGUUUGAUUUUGGUUUGGGUUGUAUUAAGAUAGUAUUACUUAUUUUUAGUUUAUUUAGUGUGUUAUUUUUUGUACACUGGUAGUUUUUUGAUUGUUUUAUUAACGUUCCAGAAUAAUCGGCUAUACGUUUUAAUUUUUAACUCUAUUUGUUGUGAUACCAUGGAUUUUUAUAUUUUUUUUUAUGUUAUUUUUUGUAAAAUAUUUUGAUUUGUUUAUUUUUUUUUUUUUGGUAUCAAAAAUUUGUUUUUUGAACUGGAUUAGUACCCAGGUAAUCAAAAUUUAUUAAUUCGGGAGUAAAGUUUUGUUUAAACCGAAAAAAUAUUGACUGACUUUAGAUUUUUCUUUGGAAUAUGUGAUUUUGUUGGAGAGCCCUCUUUUUUGGUAAAUUUUGUUGGCACAUGUAUGAUUGUUUAGUUUUUAUUUUAUUUUGUAAUGCUUUUUUUGUUUUGGCAUUUAAAACAGAUAUAUAUUUGGUUUAUAAAUUUAUUUUUCAUGUGUUACUAUUAUAAAUUUUUUUUGGAUUAAUUUUUUAUUUUUUUUUGAAAUUGGAAAAGAAAGUAAUUUUUUCUUUAUGUUUUAAUGAAUUUAAUAAAUAAGGUGGUACAAACCAUCCGUCAAUGGCCUAAAGGGGCGUAAGUUGUAGUAUGGUAGGGGUAAGGAAACUUGUUUCUAUUUUUU
rnacentral:ncRNA from 1 species